rnacentral:tRNA from 1 species
GCUCAGUUGGCUAGAGCCACCGGCUCAUAACCGGUCGGUCCCUGGUUCGAGUCCACCCACCA